AAAAAUGACUUAUACGAAAUAAUUUUCUCAAAAAUGAUUUCUGUCAUACUGAACCCACAUAUUAUUUAUGGAUAAGCUAAUUCCACCCCUAUUCUUCCACACUUUGGACUUGCUAUAAAAAAAAUCAUAUUUGGAGGUAAAGUGGAACAAGAUAAUCCUAGUGAAGCGUAGGCGACGAAAUUAAAAAUGUCUAUCAACAAGAACACAGUUACAUGGCCUCUGUUAAUGCUGGUUUUCUUUGCACUGUGCAUGAAUUCGUGGUGUGAAUAUGGUGAAGCAGCAAGAAUCUUCUUAGACUUCUCUGCAAUUCCAGUGACGGAAAGGCUGGGAGUACUAGACAGCAGCCAUCGCCGGAGCACCAGGGAGUCGCCCGGAGGGAGCUAUCCUGCCCCGGCAGCUAAUGUAAACAACCAUGUACAUCACUAGCUACUGCUUGAUGGAUUAUGUAUGUAACUGUAUCAAGAUUUAGUGACCUCUAUUUUGUUAUGGACUUCCCACUUGUAAUAAGAAGACACUGUUUUGUCUGUGUUUAAUGAAGAGAUUUUUCUAUGAAAGCAAUGCGAGUAAUUUUA